GGGAGGGUCGCGGGACGCGGGAGCCGUGGCUGCGCGGGACGCUGCGCGCGCGAGAAGCCUCCUCUGCCGCAGCCCCAGGCUGCAGCUUCCCCUCCGGGGACAGGGUGCGGGGAGGUCCGUCCGGGCCAAAUGCUUGCCCUGUGCCGGUUGUGCCCACGCUCCGAUGUCUGGGAGCGCCUGCUUGGGAUCCCCCAUGAAAGCAGAGCCGGCCCCGGGGAAGGGAACGUCCCGUCACCGCCUGCGUCUCCGGCAGCGGAGGCCCCUUCCCUUCGGGUGCCUGUGCAGCCGGCGGCGGGAGGCUCAAAGGAAAAGUCAAGAGAGAAGCAGGUUCUGGGCCCGGCAGCAGGAGAGCUCGGCUGGAGGCAGGUCCGGGAGCUAAAUCACGUUGUCGAAGAGCUGCAUGGACCGCAUGAUGUUCUCGUCCUGCGGGGAAGAGGUGGGAGAUGGUGGGGCUGGGCACGGAGCUGCUGUUUCAGCGGUUCUUCCCAAAUCUUGUCGCACCACAUUGCUGUGCUCUGGCAGCCCCAACCCACAGACUGGGAUGACUCCCGAGGAGGACAGGAGCCCCAGGGGUUAUAGGCAGCUUUGCAGCCCUAGCAGGAUGCCCAGCACUCCUCACCCGCACAGGGAUGGUGUCCCAGCCCCAGAGCAGAGCAGGUGGUGGCUUUACCUUCUGGCAGGACUCCAGGAACUCCUCGAUUGUCACCACUCCGUCUUUGUUUCGGUCCAUUUUCUGCAGAUAAACACAGCACAGAGGAAAUGGCGGGGACAGCCGCGACUCUGCUCACUGCUCCCAGGAAGAGCCGAGCACCCCGCUCUGCAGGUCGUGCAGGGGUUUGGACCCCGUGCAUCCCUGCCUGCAGCUGGCUCACACACCAUGCAGGGGCAUAGAACUGAAGAGGGGAGGAAGCAGAGCUUCCUACCCUAAAUGCCCAGUGGGGGCCAUUCCAUGGUUCAAACCCCCUCGACACAAGUAAGCUGCUUGCUGUGUGCCCUGCUUCAUCCCCAGCAUGUGCUAUUUUCUCUUGCUCCGUGCCAAAGCCUGCUCUCCAUGCUGGCUCCAAGCCAGAGCUUGCUCUUCCCCAUGGGAUGCUCAGCUCACCUGGAAGAAGUUCUCCACAUGCUCCCGGGGUGCUUCCUCCCGCAUGGCUGGGUAGGUGUAUUUGCCCAUCAUGUCGUAGAUGGACUUCAUGAUGUCCAGCAUUUCCUGAAGGGAAGGGGAGGAGAGCUGCAGUAUCGAUCUGGGGUUUUGAACCCUGCUUGGUCCCCAGCUUGCACCACUUCUGUGAUGCCCUCAAAGGACCUGUGGGGUGCUCACGUGUGUUCCUGCCACCUCAGUGCACAGUGCAAGUUCAUGUAUGUAUCCACAUGGUUGAUGAAUCCACAAAGCAGCACAUCCCCUCAUCUACCCUUCCAUGUGCUCAAUCCACCCCCCCACCACAGAGACACCUUCAGACAUCAGUGCUGAUCAGGAGGGCUGAUCCCAUACAUGGACCAGUUUGUAAAGCUGAGCUAAGUGAAUAUUGAUUUCCCUCUCUCCUACAGAGCUCAGCCAAUUCCCCUGGGUCCUGCCCUCAUUCCCGCAGGCCUGUGCUGGCCCUGGGGGUCCAGCCUGGCCACCCAGUCCCACCUCUUUGGUGAUGCAGCCAUCUUUGUUCAGGUCAUACAAAUUGAAGGCCCAGUUCAGGCGGUCAUCAAUGGUGCCCCGCAGGAUGAUGGACAGCCCAGACACAAAGUCCUGCAAGGAUGGAGAAGGCAAACAAGUGAGAGCUACAGCCACAAAGGGCUUUGCAGCCAUGGAAGGCAGAGCCCCACUUGUCUACAAACGAGGAAGCAAAGAUCCCCUAGACCUCCUGACCUUGAGUGAAGUUCCCCAUAAGUCUUCAGCCGUGAGCAACACCUCUUAUAUCUUCAUCCUGGUUUGUGAUACCUGAACAGACAUGCCCUCCCUACCACGCUACCAUCCCCCUCUGUGGCUCACCUCGAAGCUGACGGAGCCAUCGUGGUCAGUGUCGAAGGCGUUGAAGAGGAAGGUGGCGUAUGUGCUGGAGUCUGGGGAGAGGCAGACAGUGGUGGGGCGGCGCUCAGAUACUCACAGCCCUGUCAAACUCCCCCAUGUGAGCGCUUCAGCAUGGGGAGGGACACAGGGAUGGGGACAGGGCACAGCACUCACCUCCCUGGGGGAAGAACUGUGAGUAGAUCUGCUUGAAGUUUUCUUCAUUAACGAUGCCACUUGGGCACUCCUGCCAGGGCAAGUCACAGCGUCAUCCCAUCUGCAUGGCCAAGCCUUGGAGACAGUCUGAGCGCACCCUUGGAGCUGGGCUUGCCAAGGGCUUCCAUCCCCUAAAGUCUUGCAGAUGUCCUUGCAUCCUGCCCCUUUUCCUCCCCAAACCCUGCACUGCCAGGUAGAUGUGGCUGAUGAGGCUAGUUGAAAUGUGCUCCUGAUUUUGUGGGCUGGCAGCAGCACCCCCUGCCAGAAGGUCUGCCCCAGCACUAUGGAGGGAUUUCCAUGAUUACUCAGAAGACAGCUCUCUGCAACCAGGGAGGGCUCUGCACUCCAGGUACCCAGGGAAGUGGGUGCCUGGGGUGCACCCAAGGAAAUGGGAAUGUCUCUCUGCAGAGCAGUGGAUCAGGCCUCCCUACUGAGCUCAGGAACCUCCCUGGAGGUGGGCUCACACCUGGGAGAAGUUGCAUGCCCAGCAUCUGCCAUCCAAAGCUCUCCACUGCUGCACGGAUAGGGAUGGCUCUCUCCCCCAUUCACCAGACAUUUGGUGCCCAGCAAUUGCAGACAGCUUCACUGUUCUUGUCUGCAGGAGAACUCGGAAAUAGGGUGAUCUGGUGCUAGUAAAGCAGAUGUCCUGUGGUCCUGGAGCAGUUGGGAGCUCUGAUGUUCAGGGCAUUUUCCCAGUUUGCUUCUAAUCUCACUGUUUGCCUUUUGGUGGAGACCGACCAAUGCCAGAGCUGGGGUCUGGCAGACCAAUGCUGGGAGAGGGUGACCGACUCCUUCCAGCACAAUGAACCUUCAGAUGGACCUGAGAUCUCUCACAGAGCCGGGGGGCUAACACAGGGACCUGGUGCCUCUCCAGCCUGUGUCACCAGUCUGAUAAUCUGGUGUCUAGAGUCCCUGAAAGAUUCAGUGCACUGUGUUGUGCUUAAAAAUAAAUAAUAAAAUAAAAGCCAAAGCAGG